rnacentral:rRNA from 1 species
AUUGAACGCUGGCGGCAGGCCUAACACAUGCAAGUCGAGCGGAUGAAGGGAGCUUGCUCCUGGAUUCAGCGUCGGACGGGUGAGUAAUGCCUAGGAAUCUGCCUGGUAGUUGGGGAUAACGUCCGGAAACGGGCGCUAAUACCGCCUACGUCCUGAGGGAGAACGUGGGGGAUCUUCGGACCUCACGCUAUCAGAUGAGCCUAGGUCGGAUUAGCUAGUUGGUGGGGUAAAGGCCUACCAAGGCGACGAUCCGUAACUGGUCUGAGAGGAUGAUCAGUCACAAUGGAACUGAGACACGGUCCAGACUCCUACGGGAGGCAGCAGUGGGGAAUAUUGGACAAUGGGCGAAAGCCUGAUCCAGCCAUGCCGCGUGUGUGAAGAAGGUCUUCGGAUUGUAAAGCACUUUAAGUUGGGAGGAAGGGCAGUAAGUUAAUACCUUGCUGUUUUGACGUUACCAACAGAAUAAGCACCGGCUAACUUCGUG